GAAUCACUUAGGGCUCUUUGGAAUGCCUCCUUUCCUGAUACAGAGCUAAAUAGCUUAGUUUCAGCACAGUGGAAAGAUAUGGGGUGGCAGGGCGUGAACCCAGCGACUGAUUUCAGGGGCUGUGGAUUUAUUUCACUUGAGAACCUUUUGUUUUUCGCAACAACAUAUCCGGCUCCUUUCAAGAGGUUAAUGCUGAAGCAGCAAGGAAUGCGAGCUGUGUGGGAGUACCCCUUUGCGGUUGCCGGUAUAAACAUCUCAU